AUUCAGAAAUAGCAGAAUUGAGAUUGAAAUUAGAAAAGGGCAGUUCUAAUUCGAAAAGAAGAACAGAGGAGGCUGUGGUGGAUCCUUCUGGUGGUAGCUUGGACGGCGGCAGAGAAACUCGCGGUGACCAUAUAUCUUGACAUAGACAACCUAAGCAACCACUCUAACGGUGAAAAUCGACUUAAUAGACAAGGAAGCUGAAGCAAGGUUUAGAGUUUACCAAGCAAACAGGCUUCAGAGAUGUUUUCCGGUGGCGGCAGCGGUGGCGUGGAGCUCUGACGACGUAGAGGCGCGGCCAGAAGCUACAGCAGCAGCGGAUCUAGCGACGGUUCAGACGAGGACGGCGGCUGAACGCGGCGGUGAUGAAAGAAUCGGCUCCCUCUCUCUCUUCGUGCACUCUUCCUCUUCGCGGUUCUGUUACUUGCGGGCGGUUCGGCGGCGACGACUCGGUGGCGCGGCGAGAGCAGCAUU